CGGGACGGGUGAGUAAUGUCUGGGAAACUGCCUGAUGGAGGGGGAUAACUACUGGAAACGGUAGCUAAUACCGCAUAACGUCGCAAGACCAAAGAGGGGGACCUUCGGGGCCUCUUGCCAUCGGAUGUGCCCAGAUGGGAUUAGCUAGUAGGUAGGGUAACGGCUCACCUAGGCGACGAUCCCUAGCUGGUCUGAGAGGAUGACCAGCCACACUGGAACUGAGACACGGUCCAG
rnacentral:rRNA from 1 species